ACCCGCUGAAUUUAAGCAUAUCAAUAAGCGGAGGAAAAGAAACCAACAGGGAUUGCCCUAGUAACGGCGAGUGAAGCGGCAACAGCUCAAAUUUGAAAUCUGGCUCUUUUAGAGUCCGAGUUGUAAUUUGCAGAGGGCGCUUUGGCGUUGGCAGCGGUCCAAGUUCUUUGGAACAGGACGUCACAGAGGGUGAGAAUCCCGUACGUGGUCGCUAGCCUUCGCCGUGUAAAGCCCCUUCGACGAGUCGAGUUGUUUGGGAAUGCAGCUCUAAAUGGGAGGUAAAUUUCUUCUAAAGCUAAAUACUGGCCAGAGACCGAUAGCGCACAAGUAGAGUGAUCGAAAGAUGAAAAGCACUUUGGAAAGAGAGUCAAAUAGCACGUGAAAUUGUUGAAAGGGAAGCGCUUGCAGCCAGACUUGCCUGUAGUUGCUUAUCCGGACUUUUGUCCGGUGCACUCUUCUGCGGGCAGGCCAGCAUCAGUCUAGGCGGUUGGAUAAAGGUCUCUGUCAUGUACCUCUCUUCGGGGAGGCCUUAUAGGGGAGACGACAUGCAACCAGCCUGGACUGAGGUCCGCGCAUCUGCUAGGAUGCUGGCGUAAUGGCUGUAAGCGGCCCGUCUUGAAACACGGACCAAGGAG
rnacentral:rRNA from 1 species